CAAUAUUGGAUUAAUCCUAGCAGAAUUUUUUUUGCAGAUUUGAUUAGUCACGGCAGUAUGGCUAUAAUUGACACUAUUUCAGGUAGAUAGGCUUCAUACGUUGUACAGAAGUUGGGAAGAUGACCCGGAUGUUGGGUAGAGAGACAAGGCAUUUGCAGCUAGUGGUGAUAUUGUGUCCAUCUAUAAUAUGCUGAAAGAAGGUUAUACCACUAAUAUAGUAAAGGUUUUUUUCACGGCUGCUAUCGUUCCGGAGGCUGCGUUAAUUCACGAACGAUAUCUGAAGUGCAAACACUCUAUGAGUUUGUCCACAUCGAGUCAAUUGACUGGACAUUCAAGGAUCUUGUUCGUCACGCGUAACUGCCGUGUAUGUUCACUUUGACGCUGCAUGGGACGAUGUAGCGUUGCAUGUAAUUCUAUGAUGAUAACUUUUGUUUAUAGAUUGAUACUGACUAAGUCCUUUACGUAGGUUGAACUUGCAUAUGUUGCUUCCUUUUGUGUGUUUGUUGCUAUGCUUUGCCUUUGGAUUGUAUA